ACCUUAAGUUUUUUAAAGUGGUGAUGAUUAUAUUUUUUGUAGUAAGUACAGGGUUAAUGGAGUUCAUAACAGUAGCUAGUUUGUUUAAAUUCAUUCCUGUUUUUUAGAAAUAUUUUUUUGAACAUCUUAUUUGACCGAUGAACACGGUUGGUGAUAUGAAUAGCGGUCGUGCCUUAGUCUGCGCUAUGACUCCCGAUUUAAAAAAAAGGCCAAUCCGUCAAGUUGACGUCUGACAGAUUUGAAACAUGUCGCUGUUGAUAUUGCAACAUUAUUUAUACCCUGUGUUCCCUAAUUUGUGCUGUUUUUGAGUUUUUAUCGACGACUUCUGACUGCCCCUGGAUUUUGUAGUACCCACAUCUCACGACGAUCACAAUACAUCUACUUUACAUUCGGAAUUGGACGCCUUCACGACGACUUGGCUCACGUAUUUUGGACAACGGCGAUUUUGCUUUUCUCGACAUACUACAAGCUAGUUUAGCAAAUAAAAUGAGCAGAUCAAAGGACUUUGUGAAAACAAACUCUGGAAACAGACAUGGCGGUUAUUAUAGAAUAUUUAAGGAAUAGCGACAAGCACAACAUUGUAGAGAUUAGGGUGAGAAAACAUUGAUGGCUUCUAGAAGCGAUUAAGGCUAUCCACAUGCGCUGCCUGAGGACUAUACUUGAUGUUACAUGGCAAGAUAAAGUUAGCAAUGAGGUAGUGCUGUCGAGGACACAUAGUUGCAGCUUAUGUGCUAUGUUAAAGCAGAGAAGACUUCGCUGGCUCGGCCUCUCCCUGCAGACUCACGUUUUGUGUGUGAUCGUUGUGGCGUGGCCAAUGAUGAUGAGAAAUGGUUAUGUCCAAAGUGCAGUUGGUUUUGUGGAGCUGAAGAGAGAUGACACCAGAUGCAUUGUAAGAGCCAAAGUCGUUUCUGAACACCAUAUCACAAAAAAAAUAUUAUUUAGUGACAGUGCAUAUCAACGAAAAUGAAAACACUAUUUUAGAUAAGAAAUGAGACGGAUUUAUUUAUAAUUUAAUGCAUGUUAAUUAUUAAGAUGUAAUGUUUUGAAAAGAAGUGGCCCGCCGAGUUUGCCGGUCCCAUAGUAUAGUUAUAGAUAACUUGGUACCCUCCUCUUCCUGUGGGGGGACUGAAAUUUUCUCGAGACUGAGGCGUAGGGUUAGAGCCGGCGUAGCUUUAUUUGACGUUCAUAUGCGCAUUGUAAUAUGCCUACUUAAAAAAUAAAUAUUUCAUUUCAAUAUGUAAAGAGUGGAAUGCCCUGCCUGAGUCUGAUGUUUCAGCAUGACAGCAUGAGUACUACCUAUUCAAACUAAAAACAAAAAUACUAUAAUAAAACAAAAGAAUCGAU